CAGCAAGUCGAACGAGUUCUCGUUGAUGAUCGGUGCUUGCACCGAGAUUCAACAUGGAACGAGUGGCGGACGGGUGAGUAACACGUGGGUAACCUGCCCUUAAGUGGGGGAUAACAUUUGGAAACAGAUGCUAAUACCGCAUAGAUCCAAGAACCGCAUGGUUCUUGGCUGAAAGAUGGCGUAAGCUAUCGCUUUUGGAUGGACCCGCGGCGUAUUAGCUAGUUGGUGAGGUAACGGCUCACCAAGGCGAUGAUACGUAGCCGAACUGAGAGGUUGAUCGGCCACAUUGGGACUGAGACACGGCCCAAACUCCUACGGGAGGCAGCAGUAGGGAAUCUUCCACAAUGGACGCAAGUCUGAUGGAGCAACGCCGCGUGAGUGAAGAAGGCUUUCGGGUCGUAAAACUCUGUUGUUGGAGAAGAAUGGUCGGCAGAGUAACUGUUGUCGGCGUGACGGUAUCCAACCAGAAAGCCACGGCUAACUACGUGCCAGCAGCCGCGGUAAUACGUAGGUGGCAAGCGUUAUCCGGAUUUAUUGGGCGUAAAGCGAGCGCAGGCGGUUUUUUAAGUCUGAUGUGAAAGCCCUCGGCUUAACCGAGGAAGCGCAUCGGAAACUGGGAAACUUGAGUGCAGAAGAGGACAGUGGAACUCCAUGUGUAGCGGUGAAAUGCGUAGAUAUAUGGAAGAACACCAGUGGCGAAGGCGGCUGUCUGGUCUGUAACUGACGCUGAGGCUCGAAAGCAUGGGUAGCGAACAGGAUUAGAUACCCUGGUAGUCCAUGCCGUAAACGAUGAAUGCUAGGUGUUGGAGGGUUUCCGCCCUUCAGUGCCGCAGCUAACGCAUUAAGCAUUCCGCCUGGGGAGUACGACCGCAAGGUUGAAACUCAAAGGAAUUGACGGGGGCCCGCACAAGCGGUGGAGCAUGUGGUUUAAUUCGAAGCAACGCGAAGAACCUUACCAGGUCUUGACAUCUUUUGAUCACCUGAGAGAUCAGGUUUCCCCUUCGGGGGCAAAAUGACAGGUGGUGCAUGGUUGUCGUCAGCUCGUGUCGUGAGAUGUUGGGUUAAGUCCCGCAACGAGCGCAACCCUUAUGACUAGUUGCCAGCAUUUAGUUGGGCACUCUAGUAAGACUGCCGGUGACAAACCGGAGGAAGGUGGGGAUGACGUCAAAUCAUCAUGCCCCUUAUGACCUGGGCUACACACGUGCUACAAUGGAUGGUACAACGAGUUGCGAGACCGCGAGGUCAAGCUAAUCUCUUAAAGCCAUUCUCAGUUCGGACUGUAGGCUGCAACUCGCCUACACGAAGUCGGAAUCGCUAGUAAUCGCGGAUCAGCACGCCGCGGUGAAUACGUUCCCGGGCCUUGUACACACCGCCCGUCACACCAUGAGAGUUUGUAACACCCGAAGCCGGUGGCGUAACCCUUUUAGGGAGCGAGCCGUCUAAGGUGGGACAAAUGAUUAGGGUGAAGUCGUAACAAGGUAGCCGUAGGAGAACCUGCGGCUGGAUCACCUCCUA
rnacentral:rRNA from 2 species